ensembl:lncRNA
UAUAAAAUAAAUAAAAGCCACAAAGCCACGUUUAUUGACUCGCCAGGCGAGGAAACACGCACAAGUGAAGAAAUUCACUGAAUAGUCAGCCGAGGAGGGAGAGUCGGGGAUGUUUAAUCUUGGAGAGGGGCUCACAAUGAUUAAGGCUCGAAAACCAGCACUCCAGAAAUUAAUCUAAAGGUCUGUACCUGGUUGGUUCAAACAAAUCCAUCGUUCAUUGUUGAGGAAAGAGUCUUUAGUUGAGUCCAGUGGGGGUUUGGCGUUUGGGUCCACUUCAGCUGCUUAGAAUCAGUUAUGAUGAAACACAAUAUUUAAUUGUGAUAUCUCCUAGGGCAUGUGUUGCUAUAAGUGGAAAUUUUUCCUGUUUCAAUUCCCGCCUGCUCCUCCUCAAUGGAAGCUCCGUAUAUGACACGUAUGAGCAUAAGGUAAUUUGUCUCCCCUUAUGGUUCUUAGCUAAGUGAUUUAGAAUUUCAGUCAUCCUCAAGACAGGUUUGUAAAAUGUGUAUAUGAAUAAAUGCAGUUCCCCCACUCAGGUGGUCUCCACUGCUUUGCCCCGUUUGAACAGAAAAUAGUAGCUGGUGAAAUACUCCUGUAGGAUUACGUCAGACAGCCAUGACUCCCAGAGUUUGUGUUAGGUUUUAGAAACAUCCAUACUCAAAAAUCCAAGAAGCCUUUCAGAACAUAGAAGUAGAUGAAGAAAGGAGGAGAAAGUGAUAGGGAUAAGAGAAAAUGGGAGGAAAUGGAAGGAAAGGAAAAAGCUUAAAGGAUAUCACUGUGGUGAAGAGCAAGGAGAAAUUAAAGAAAGACGGUUUGAGAGAAAAAUAAAAGAACUGAAGAAAUCUGACUGAGCCAGGGGCAUGUGGGACCAGAAGGCCAAAGAGAAACAGUGGCAGCUGGAGGAGCCUGCAGAGCUGGGCAAGUCCGUUUUGCAGAGUCUGGGCAGGAAAAUGCUGUAGGCUAAAGCAGAAAAUAAGGAGAUUUUUUUCCCCCGCUGAUGGUUCCCUGGGAUCCUGCCAAAGCUCUAUUCUGCAGAACCAGAAACUGAAUAAAUAGACUAAUUUAUUCAGAAGAUAUGUCCCCUUAAUUCUCUCCCCAGAAUGGUGUCAAACCUGCCCAGGAUACCAGAAAUUUCUGUGAAUUUGGAUGAUGAGGAUUAACCAGAGUGUUUCUCUUCACCCCACAACACCUGCUCCUGAAAAGGAAGCAUUUGUUCCUUGCAUGCAAAUCAUUUUGUAUUAAAGAGGCAUCUAAUGAGCAUCGGAUGAAAGUCCCCUGGAGCAGGUGUGAGAACCACUGCUUCGAGGUGUGGUGAUGGACAUUGGCGGCGUAAUUCCCACGGGCACUUUCUGAUGCAAAAGGGAAGGAAAAGAGGAGGAAGAGUUAGGAUUGACUCUGAGACCAUGAAAUGUGGUACCUUCAGGAGCUAUUUGAAGAAGUUAUACCUACUCAUACACUGGAAUGAAGAGCUCUUCAUAUGGCAUUUUGUCCCAAAUGAAGCCAAAAUUCAAAAGAAA